rnacentral:rRNA from 1 species
UACGUAGGGUGCGAGCGUUGCCCGGAUUUAUUGGGCGUAAAGGGCGCGUAGGCGGCUCUGCACGUUCGUUGUGAAAUCGCCCGGCUCAACUGGGCGGGGUCAGCGGAUACGGCGGAGCUUGAGCAAGCUAGGGGGCAAUGGAAUUCCCGGUGUAGUGGUGGAAUGCGUAGAUAUCAAGCAGAACACCUGCGGCGAAGGCGGCCUUCUGGACGAUGACUGACGCUGAGACGCGAAAGCGUGGGGAGCAAACAGG